AGCAUGUCGAAAAGAAGGUUUAGACUGCCCGAGGGGAUGGCCCGGGUUCUGAGUUGCUGGACUCCAUCAGAAUAAUCAGCGACUUUACUUCUAACCCUAACCUGACCCUCUUUAUGCCAUAUUUUAGGCUUCAGAGAACUUUGCUUAAUGGUGGGAAAAAAAUGAAUACGAAUUGUCCCGCCCCAGAGGCAAGUCUGCACUUGAACUCUGGCAAUAUCAAGGGACAGUGAACCUGUAGGACCAGAUGAAGACCGAAUAGCGUGUGUCCCUCCCCAUGGCAGGAUAUCUCAUCCUCCCCCACAAUACCGAAGGCAGUAAGUCAAUAGAGAAUGGAAACACUACCCUUGAAAAUAUCAGUGGAAACUCAUAAAUACUUAGAUCACACACUGACAUGUUCCUAAAUACAGCAUAUCAGGCAGCUACAAAUUGACAGGAAAUAGCUACACGUAUGUGCAGAGCACUCACUUUAACAUUUGAAUUAAGUCAUAGAAUAUUAAGUCUGAAUAUUUUGAAAGUGUCCCCAUAUCAUACAUGUAGCAUCUCCAAGAGCACCUUCACGUACACCCCAGAAGCAUAAAUGUGAGGGGAGAUGGUGGGGGGAGCAGAGCUGCUGUCGCCUGUCUUCGCAUGUUAGGGCAUGACCUGACCAGAGUCUGAUUUUUUUACCAUAGUCUUGUGAACAAGUAGACCUUUCACCUUCACUCAGAAGUACCCAGAUAAACUAACUCUAAUGGGAAAUGUAUACACAUGUCAAACACUCUCCGGGUAUUCCAGAAAAUUUCAAUGUCAGCCAGGUGCACACCUGCCAGUGUGCAGGGAGAGAUGGGGAGAGAUGGAAGAGGGUAUGCCUCCAGAACCCAAAGGGGCCUGCUAAGCAUUGGGUAUCUUUCUUGCUUUGGAAAGCAAAAUACAAUGUUUUUCCUUUACUAUGCAAGAGAUAUCCUAGCAUACUCUAGAACACUGGGUCAUUCAAAGUUUCACUGAUGUGUCAGACCUCUAUAUUUCCAGGCUGAUUUCCCUCUGGAGUGCAUGUGUUGCUAGCUACUUCUUGUCCAUCCCACAUGUUUAUGGUUUCAUCAUUUCAUCAAUACAGUGGGCAAGUGUCAUACUUUGGGGGAUGUCCUACUGCUCCAGAUCUCUUAGAACUGCAUUAUGACAGAGUUGCAGAAAGACAGCAUAGCCCUGGGUCAAGACUAUGAAUGUGAACAAAAGGGUGGAAUAGGAGUUUGCUACCAUGUGCUUUUCAAAGAGCCCUGAACUUUGAUAACCACCCACAGACAAGAGUACCUGUGGUAGAGUCUCUGAGUUCAGUAGAGGAAUUCCAGCAAAAAAAUCCAAGAAUAGAUGCAUUGAAGAAGAGAACAGUUGCAUUUUUCUUGCAUCACACUACCCCGGAGCAGCCCGGCUCAGCGCCAGGAGAGACCCCCUCUUCCACAGGGGAAAGUGAGAGGGUAGCGAGGGAACACCCGGCUGCCCCAUCUACACAGGAUGCUGCCAAGGAGGCCCGUGUCUUUCUCACCUCCCCCAGGAUACUGAAGUGAUCCGCACGACUGAGACACAGGGAGAGGUGGGAGCACAGCAUCCCAGGCUUGGAACUCACAGAAGGCAUGCAGAUCCUAUUAUCUACUUUGCAGAAUCCACUAGGAAGCCUGCCCACAAACCACUGGAGAUGCCUCACUUCAGACCCCCUAUCUGACCUAUGGUACUUCCCAGUGGUCCGUGUGCCUUACCGUACACCCUCCAUAGCCAGCUCCCUGUGUGCGUCCCCACAGGCAGAGGGUGUGAGCUUUUGCAGGUGGCCAGUGCGCACACGCGGAAAGCUGGCUGGACUCUGCAGGACUGAGAGAAAGCACACAGAGUUGAACUAUCAACACCACCCUAGGGAAAUUAAGUGGGAGGCUAGCAAAAGUCAGCCUGGCUCUGUAGAAUGGAGAGAAGACAUGCAAUCUGAAGAUUCGUCCCACCACCACUACCCCCAAGGGGAAAUAAGGUGUGUGAGCAGUCGCAUCCAUCCAAAAGAUCUGUGAAAACCUUAGGAUCCCCAAGCAGGUCUGACAGGUAAUUCUGUUGAGGCUUGUUGGGUGACCUGUCCUGGAGAAUGUUCUUUGCAUGCUUAAGAAGAAUAUAUAUCCUGCCUGCCUCUGUUGAGUAGAAUGUUCUGCUUAUGUCAUUUAGGCUCAUUUAGUCUGAAGAGUAGUUCAAGUACAGCGUUUCCUGGGAAUUACCGAUUAGCAGCAUUCCAGAAGAUUAUAUGUAGAAAUAUUUGGUGAACUGUGGAAGUACUUAUUUGCCUAUAGUUACUAGUUCCUGUUAUUAUCGGCAGUCCAGAUUAGAGCAACUAAGAGGACUCCUGUAAGGGCCGUAUCAAGCUUGAUUGUGUUAUGUGCACCUGACCCCACUGUGCCAGUGGUGACGAUAUUGUGUCUCGGCAAAACCACCAUUCUCUAUGCUCUGCUGCUGUCAAGAAGACAGAGAACCAUGAACCACAAUCAUUGUUUUCCAGCAGGGUUCCCUGAUAUAUGCUGUUAAUCGGAGGAUGCUAGAGGGAGGCAACUGCAAGGACAAGCAUCUCCACCGUUGCCUUGCUCCUCCUGUCAGUGCCAAGACAGCAGCAGUUCUUUGCUGACUGGUAUGGAAUCCAGUUUCCAGUUUCAAUGUUUUGACAUUCCCAGCACAAAUCUCAUCAUACUCCCUAGAGAGAAACAGAACCAGACACAGUGGACCCCUUUUUAGGAAUCUGAGUCCCAGUUCUAUGAGCGGUCCUGCUAUGAGUGACAUCCUACAGUUCUUAUCUCCAUACUGUGUUUGUGUUCCCUUUGUGUCAUUUCAGUCAUCUAAUACCUGUGUAUCCAGAUCUUUGGAUUAAAUACUCCCAGGCUUAAACACUGGCAUAAUCUGUGUUUUCCUAUCUAGAGCGUGGCUAACAAACCCACAUGAACUGUCCUUGAGGAGAGGGUCCAGAUAUAGCAACACAAAUCCAACCGAAUUAAAUUCUGUCCAUAUUAGGUACAUGUUAAACUUGGGAAUUCAAGAAAAAUUACUGUAUUUCCAGAUGAUAUUUGCUAAAACCAAGAACAGAUUUAUUAAGCGUCAAGAAUAACAGUACUUCUGAAGAAACUAUACAGAUUGGAGUUAAAUUAAGCAGAGUUAUUUUCUCAGAAAAAUUGUGCUAGAAAUCUUUCAUAAAGAGGUAGGGGAAAGGAAUAAUAUUUGACAAACAGUUUAGAUUACUGUCAAAGCAGUAAAAUGUGUAUUGAUGAUGACACCAGCUAUUAUGCUAAAAGUCAGGGAUGUAAGAGACGGAAAAGUAAAAAUAUUUGGAAUAAUUCCAUAAUUAUGGACAAUGUCAGUUAUAUGUGCCAGAUUUAUAUGCUAAAAUUCAGUAAUUUACAAUUGUUAAUACACACUGUAUUCCCAUCCUUGUC
rnacentral:lncRNA from 1 species